rnacentral:rRNA from 1 species
AGUGAACGCUGGCGGUAGGCCUAACACAUGCAAGUCGAACGGCAGCACAGGAGAGCUUGCUCUCUGGGUGGCGAGUGGCGGACGGGUGAGGAAUACAUCGGAAUCUACUUUUUCGUGGGGGAUAACGUAGGGAAACUUACGCUAAUACCGCAUACGACCUACGGGUGAAAGCAGGGGAUCUUCGGACCUUGCGCGAUUGCAUGAGCCGAUGUCGGAUUAGCUAGUUGGCGGGGUAAAGGCCCACCAAGGCGACGAUCCGUAGCUGGUCUGAGAGGAGGAUCAGCCACACUUGAACUGUGAGACGGUCCAGACUCCUACGGGAGGCAGCAGUUGUGAAUAUUGGACAAUGGGCGCAAGCCUGAUCCAGCCAUACCGCGUGGGUGAAGAAGGCCUUCGGGUUGUAAAGCCCUUUUGUUGGGAAAGAAAUCCAGCUGGUUAAUACCCGGUUGGGAUGACGGUACCCAAAGAAUAAGCACCGGCUAACUUCGUGCCAGCCGCCGCAGUAA